UGGGGAAUAUUGGACAAUGGGCGCAAGCCUGAUCCAGCCAUACCGCGUGGGUGAAGAAGGCCUUCGGGUUGUAAAGCCCUUUUGUUAGGAAAGAAAAGCAGUCGGCUAAUACCCGGUUGUUCUGACGGUACCCAAAGAAUAAGCACCGGCUAACUUCGUGCCAGCAGCCGCGGUAAUACGAAGGGUGCAAGCGUUACUCGGAAUUACUGGGCGUAAAGCGUGCGUAGGUGGUUGUUUAAGUCUGUUGUGAAAGCCCUGGGCUCAACCUGGGAAUUGCAGUGGAUACUGGGCGACUAGAGUGUGGUAGAGGGUAGUGGAAUUCCCGGUGUAGCAGUGAAAUGCGUAGAGAUCGGGAGGAACAUCCAUGGCGAAGGCAGCUACCUGGACCAACACUGACACUGAGGCACGAAAGCGUGGGGAGCAAACAGG
rnacentral:rRNA from 1 species